UGAAGAAUCAGACAAUGAGAGUGAUCGUGUUUCUAUAGCUGGCAGAGUCGUUGCUCGUAGAGCGUUUGGGAAACUUGCGUUCUUGACUCUGAGAGAUGACUCUGGAACUAUUCAGCUUUACUGUGAGAAGGAAAGGCUUUCGGAUGAUCAGUUUGAACAGUUGAA